CCCUGAGCUCAGCCUCUCAGGGCGAGGAAUCGGGAAUGAACGACCACGUGGAGGGAGAGGCUCAGCCAGCCUAACUCUUCUGCCAUUCCAGCUGGGACCUGCUCCACGUGAGGGGGCAUCUUAGAGCACCCCAGCUCAGCUGAGUGCAGUCGCAUGACUGACCCAGGCGAGCCCAGUAAAAGCAGUUCCCAAUGAACUUAUGGAAUCAUGGGAAAUAACACUUGGUGUUUUGGCAGGAAGUCACUUGAUAUAUGCUGGACUCAGCUAAAGAUUAUUUUAUCUAACAGGGCAUGAGUAAAAAGUGAUGUGUCACACUGUGCUCAAAGCAAAUCAAAAAGUAAAGUUUGUGGAACUCCCACUCUUCCCUCGGGAUA